rnacentral:rRNA from 1 species
CCUCUGACAGCCCCAGAGAUGGGGUCUCCUGGGUAAAACCAGGCAGAGUGCAAGGUGCUGCAUGGCUGUCGUCAGCCCGUGUCGUGAGAUGUUGGGUUAAGUCCCGCAACGAGCGCAACCCUUAUCAAUAGUUGCCAGCGGUUCGGCCGGGCACUCUAUUGAGACUGCCGUUGACAAAACGGAGGAAGGUGGGGAUGACGUCAAGUCCUCAUGGCCUUUAUGUCCAGGGCUACACACGUGCUACAAUGGCCGGUACAAAGCGCUGCAAACCUGCAAAGGGGAGCCAAUCGCAAAAAGCCGGUCUCAGUUCGGAUUGGAGUCUGCAACUCGACUCCAUGAAGUUGGAAUCGCUAGUAAUCGCAGAUCAGCACGCUGCGGUGAAUACGUUCCCGGGUCUUGUACACACCGCCCGUCACAUCACGAAAGUGGGUUGUACUAGAAGUCGUCGCGCCAACCCGUAAGGGAGGCAGGCGCCCACGGUAUGAUCCA